GCCAGUUUUCUGAAAGAUGGUUGAUGUCAGUACCAACAUGUUGUGAUGGAGGCUUCCACCUGAGCUGAACACAGAAACUUGCACACAGUGAUGGAAGCAGUCGUUCCUGUUCAGCAUCGAUAUGCCAGUAAUGGGUUUGAUGAGCCACAGCAUGGUGAUGGGCAAUCAGCAUCAGGACCAGGGCAGCUCACAAGGAGAACCUCCUGCCCUGCCUCGUCAUCCUCAACCUCCCAUCUCCCUGCUCUUCACACAUGUGCAGGCACGGAGCCAGUUUUCAGAGGGAGGGCUGAUGACACCAGCAACUUUGGUUCUGAACCUGAUCAACCCAGCACCAACCACUGUGCCGCUCCUCCUCUGCCAACUGCACCACAUGGCUCCACCAUCUCAAAAAGGCACAGACACUACUCCACUUCCUGCGAAGGAUGAGAGAAGAGCCGACCUCCCCACAUCGGCACUCACCACCUUCUACAGGGGUGUCAUUGAAAGCAUCCUG